AGCGAACGCUGGCGGCAGGCUUAACACAUGCAAGUCGAGCGGGCACUUCGGUGUCAGCGGCAGACGGGUGAGUAACACGUGGGAACGUACCCUUUGGUUCGGAAUAACGCUGGGAAACUAGCGCUAAUACCGGAUACGCCCUUUUGGGGAAAGGCUUGCUGCCGAAGGAUCGGCCCGCGUCUGAUUAGCUAGUUGGUGUGGUAAUGGCCUACCAAGGCGACGAUCAGUAGCUGGUCUGAGAGGAUGAUCAGCCACACUGGGACUGAGACACGGCCCAGACUCCUACGGGAGGCAGCAGUGGGGAAUAUUGGACAAUGGGCGCAAGCCUGAUCCAGCCAUGCCGCGUGAGUGAUGAAGGCCUUAGGGUUGUAAAGCUCUUUUGUCCGGGACGAUAAUGACGGUACCGGAAGAAUAAGCCCCGGCUAACUUCGUG
rnacentral:rRNA from 1 species